rnacentral:rRNA from 1 species
CUUAAAGGAAUUGACGGGGACCCGCACAAGCGGUGGAUGAUGUGGUUUAAUUCGAUGCAACGCGAAAAACCUUACCUACCCUUGACAUGCCAGGAACCCUGCAGAGAUGUGGGGGUGCUCGCAAGAGAGCCUGGACACAGGUGCUGCAUGGCUGUCGUCAGCUCGUGUCGUGAGAUGUUGGGUUAAGUCCCGCAACGAGCGCAACCCUUGCCAUUAGUUGCUACGAAAGGGCACUCUAAUGGGACUGCCGGUGACAAACCGGAGGAAGGUGGGGAUGACGUCAAGUCCUCAUGGCCCUUAUGGGUAGGGCUACACACGUCAUACAAUGGCCGGUACAGAGGGCUGCCAACCCGCGAGGGGGAGCCAAUCCCGUAAAACCGGUCGUAGUCCGGAUUGCAGUCUGCAACUCGACUGCAUGAAGUCGGAAUCGCUAGUAAUCGCGGAUCAGCAUGUCGCGGUGAAUACGUUCCCGGGUCUUGUACACACCGCCCGUCACACCAUGGGAGCGGGUUCUGCCA